CGCGUAGGCGGGUCUUCAAGUUUGGGGUGAAAUCCUCCGGCUCAACCGGAGAACUGCCUCGAAUACUGAAGGUCUCGAGGGGGAUAGGGGCAUGCGGAACUACGGGUGGAGCGGUGAAAUGCGUUGAUAUCCGUAGGAACUCCGGUGGCGAAGGCGGCGUGCUGGAUCCCUUCUGACGCUGAGGCGCGAAAGCCAGGGGAGCAAACG
rnacentral:rRNA from 1 species